AGGUAUUCCGCCACAAGUGCUGCAACGUGCACGUAACACAUGGCCGCCUGUAAACGACAACAAGCCAGACGAUCAACAGAUACAGACCUGAGGUGAGUUCAUGUUAAACUGUGCAACAUCAAUCUAAAGCACAACAUAUUCAGCUUCACACACAGACCGGUCUCUCCUCACACACCUCUGACAGGUCUCCGUUCUUCACGUGGAUGCGGGCCAUGCUGUCUAGCCAGGUCUUGCGUAGCUCAGGCGUGCUGGCGUAGGACUUGGCGAGGCUGUACUGAAGGUCCACCAGCAUCUCGGGAUCUCUCUCGUGCUCCUUCAUCUGAGCCGUGGCCAUCAACACUGUUCUGAUGCGUUUGGUCAGGUCUUUCACGUCUGAGGGGAAGGCUGUGUUCUGUAACCGAGGGUGCAGGAAAGAGAACAGUCGGCUGUGUCAUUCAUAGUUGGGACAUAUGUAUUAAACUGAUGUACCAGAAGAUAAUUAUGCACAGAAAUGAAUUCCUGACCUUGAUAGUUUUGUCACUAUUGGCACAGUUGUUUAUUAUGGAGAGAGACUGCUGGAAGCGGGUACUUCCAAUACCGAUGACAUCAGCUAUUAACUGACUGACAGCAAUCACCACCUGAAAAAAUGAAUCAUUCAAUAAUGUUUAAUCCUCAUGUAUUAUUUAAGAUCCCCAAAGAAAGUCCACUGCUGUGUGUAAAUAUAGCAAUAAUCACAAUAAUCACAAAUUAAACCAAUUCCAUCCUGUCAAAUAUUCUCGUUCUUUAGGUUCUCAAGGCCCACCGGUGUAAAUAAUGUUAAAAUAAAAACUUUGGAGACCGCUGAGAUGCACAGAAGGUCUCUUUCACCUGUAAGUGUAAUCUUAUCUACAAUCAUACAUAUAUUGUGUUCAUGUGCAUUUCCCUCUCUUCUUGCAGGCUCUGGGUUUUCCUGGUGAUGACCUCACUGCUGUUCCCUACUCUCGCUGUGAUCCACAUGUUCAGAACCUUACACAGACUCAAAAACAUGUAAACAUCCAGGUCCAGAUGUUUAGGCCAUACCUGAUUGAUUACUAUGAGGAAAAACUCUGCCUUAUUUUUCUUAAGUUUUUAUGACAUUUUACACCCAUCUUGUUGUGGAAUGGACAUGAAAAGAUACUAACAAAAACAUGUGUUUUUCCACUUUGUUUUUAUGUUGGAGAAGAGUCAGAAUCAGUUUUUAAAAAAUGUUUUUGCCCAGCAGAAAAAAUAUGGGUCUGAAGGGGUUAAGAUAUAUUAAAAACAAUGCUGCAUUAAGUCAGAGAAAAUGAAAAGACUGGAUUAUUAUUCUCUCGUUUUCCAAAAACCUGAGGAGUGGUCAUGAUGCUGGGGAAAUCCAACGUAUGAUGACAUUUUUGUGCAAUUACACAAAAUGUAUUGUUUUUUUUGAGUGUAAAUAAUGUUGACAUAAAAACUUUGGUGACCGCAGAGAUCUACAGAAGGUCUCUCUCACCUGUAAGUGUGUCCGGACGAAUGACUUGCGACCCGUGUAGUCAAAGUUGCUCUUCAUGAGGAAGUAGAGCAGAUGGGCUGCAUCGCUGCGGAUGGAGCUCAGCUUUGAGUUGCAACACUUCAAGAUCUCGUAGCAGAAGCAGCACACAUAUCGGCACGGCCUUCAAAGAACGUGCAGGGGAACUAAAGGGCAAAGAGGACAAAAUAUACCAUCAGCAUGGGUGAACUCUUAAAGUAACAAAGGCAAUUUUGUUCAAGGGACUUGAACCUCGCACCUUGUAGAUGAAUGUGCGCAGCGUAGCGAAGACCUGUUUGAGGGCCGUCUCUGACUGAUUAAUGCGCAGAAAGCAGAGGUGGACUUCAAACACCUUCUUCAUUAGAGGACUGUGGCCGUGGUCAGAGCAAAGCUGGGUCUGUGAAGAAACAAAGUGUCAUCUCAGGAACUCAUUACAAAAAGAAGAAACUAAUUCUGAAGCUAAAAUAAAGCCUGACAUAAUCAUUGCAUCAAGUACUACAGCAUUGUUGCUACCUUGAAUCCCAUGAUGAAGAUGCUCAGUGUGUCCAGGACAGUCAGGCACACUUCAGUGGCGAUGUUAGCCUCCAGCAGUGACUGAUUCAACACGUCUGCAUCCGAGUGACUGUAAGCUAAUGAGGACAAGACAGAAAGCUGUAACUGUUUCACUACUAUCAGUGCAACUUGAAAUAAAUAAUCUGCUGAAUCAUGUCACAUCAA